rnacentral:rRNA from 1 species
AGAGUUUGAUCAUGGCUCAGAUUGAACGCUGGCGGUAUGCCUUACACAUGCAAGUCGAACGGUAGGGGGAGCAAUCCCCUGAGAGUGGCGAACGGGUGAGUAAUACAUCGGAACGUGCCCAGUCGUGGGGGAUAACGUAGCGAAAGCUACGCUAAUACCGCAUACGACCUGAGGGUGAAAGCGGGGGACCGUAAGGCCUCGCGCGAUUGGAGCGGCCGAUGGCAGAUUAGGUAGUUGGUGGGGUAAAGGCCCACCAAGCCUGCGAUCUGUAGCUGGUCUGAGAGGACGACCAGCCACACUGGGACUGAGACACGCCC